rnacentral:sRNA from 1 species
AAAAUACAGUUUAUUAUUACUGAUAGGGCAAUAUAUGGGGCAAAGUAAAUAUUAGCUGUUAUGGUCAAGUGGAGAAAUAUUCAUGCACUUGGGAUGAAGUUGGGCAGUCGGGCAGCCUCCAUAGCCAACUCUCCAGAGUAUCAAGGACCCUGGGAAUGGGAAAGGUGGUAAAAAUAAUGGUUUGAAACCUCUUUAGGAGAGCAGAACUUUCUUGUCCAAAAAAAAACUUCCCCACCUCUUUCCCUGUGUGUGUGUCUGUGAGAAAGUGAGUGUAUGAGAAAUAAAAUAUUAAACUAUUCUUUCCUUUAAUAAAUUAAUUAAGCACUUAAAACCUGUUAGUCCCUCUCUCUCAUAAGAGCCCUGAUACAUGUACAUCUCUUCUCAAAAUGAAAAAUCACCAUUCUACAGGCAGUCACUAACAUAAGCAUUAUAAACAAAACAUGAAUGAGCAGUCUAACAGUAAGGUUAAGAGAACACAGGAUAUCUAAACACAAACUUUUCUAUAACUCAAUACCAGAUCACAAUCUCUAGCCAGUAUCUCUCCUUGCUAUAAUAGAGGUUAAUGCAGUUAAGAAAGCUAAUUGCUAAAGUACUGAAACUUUACAUUGAAAACUUGCCAUCGUAGAUAUCAAGUCCAGUCUUCAACUUUCACAAUUCAGAAACAGAAUGGUGGCUGAUGUAUGAGUCAAAUACAUUAAUAUGCUUCCAAGGCUUACUCUAUUUCGUGUUUACAAACUGAAGUGCUAUGUUACUUGGCCUUUGUACCACCUGUGACUCAAUGUGAACACAGGCAAGAGUUGCUGUGAUCUCCCAUAGAACUAACUGUUAGGAGACCCAAGAAGGCAGGAAUGUAGGGAGAUUUGACUUUGUGGGAUUUUAAUUUGGUAUAUCUGACUCACCUUAAAGUCAAUUAUUAUACUAUGUCAAAUACAUAUGUAUUUUGGGGGAAAUUACAAAUCUAUGAAGUGGCAGGAAGUAUUUUUUCUACAGUAUAUGGCAAGAGAUAAAUCCUUAGGUUUGGUAGAAAGAUAGCUUGAAUUUUUUGCUCAACUGGGUUAUAUUGCUUAAAUUAUUUAAUAACUUUCUAAACUCAUUUGAGAAUUAAUGCUGAUUGAAGUUUUCACCUUGCAAGUUUGUUAAGAAUACUACGUGUAUUUAAAAUAACGAAGUAGCUGACAUCCAACAAGCAUCUAAUCCCCAUGGUUAGAGAUAUUUCAUCAGAGCUCUGUCAGCCUGGCAUGGCUUGAGGUUGAAGGGAGCAUAAGACCAAUCAGAGUAAAGUACAAAUUCUGACUUGCAGGGCAUGGUGAAUUCAUGUCUCCUUCAAUUCUGCCACCUGCAGAGGCCUUUUAUGUCUCAUCUCCAGCCUGCCUAUACAUAGCACAGAAUGAUCUAAUGCUGACAGUGUCAUACUGGUCACACACACCAUUUUCAAAACUUUUUCUCUCAUUUGCUAAGUUACUUUGGCCAUCAAAAUUCCUAUUACUCACAGGUAAUUAUCUCAGUUUGAAGAUACAAAAAGAAGUUAGUCAUCAAAUGAACUUUAUGAUUAUUUAAAGCAAUGGCAUUAAAACUAUCACCUUGGGGGCUGAACAGAUAGCUCAGUGCUUGAGAGCACUGGCUGCUCUUCGGAAGAACCUGAGUUCAAUUCCCAGAACCUACAUGGUGGCUAAGAACCACCUGUAACUACAUCUCGGAAAAUCCAAUGACUUCUUCUGCACUCUGUGGGCACUGCACACAUAUGAUACAGACAUAUACACAGGGAAAAUAUUCAUGUACAUAAAAGCAAAAUCCCCAGAACCUACUUUUAUUUUCUUAAUGAACACAGAUCAGCUUAAUUGAGUAGCACAGUAAAAUCAAGAUAUGAUCAAAGACUGAGUAACACUGUAGUAAAACUAAACAUCUAGAGUGACCAAAGUUAACACACAGAACUGGAGAUCAGUUGGGUAAUGGGAAAUGGGAAUAAGAAAAUAGCAAAUGGCUUCUACUGUAUUUGAAAAAAUCACUCUUUCAGGGAAUAAUACACAUUUCUUAUGGUAAUUCUUUGUAUUUCUUACUUCACUGGCAAAAUAGAACUCAAAAUAAAAAAAAAAUUGCCCUCUUGAACAUGUUCUUCUUCUGGCUAUAAAGUUCUCGUGUAGGUAUUCAUAAAAUAACUGAAGUCAUUUAGUGUUUAAUUGAAGACAUGGUAGUUUUCCUUUUGAUUAGCAUCUGUGAUCUCUCCUUUUAAUUUCACAAUAUAACACUUUUUUUAAAUUUUCUUAGAAAUUCAAGUAAAUAAGCUCUUCAGAUCAUGCUUCUUUUCUCUAAAGUUAUAAGACCAUUCUGAACCCUGUCUACUCGCUCUGUUCCAAAUCCCUCAUCCUAUCUACCCUUUAAAACCUGCAGAAUAGGUAAGGUUCUCUACAAUAUAAAACAAAAACAUUGUUCUUUACUUCAUGUUUUUACACCACAACAAGGUACUCUAAAUGUUGAUAGAAUCUGUAGCAGCAAAUAACAAAUUGCCCCUGGUUCUCUUAUUUAACGUUAGGUGCUAAAUGAGCAUAAAAUUCUCUCAAUGAUGCCACUAAACUUUACCUUUUACUCCUAACUGAUCUCAAAUACAAAUGAUCUCAGUUGUAGCAAGGUAACAGAAUGGCUAUCUUUGUGGUAUUUAGAGUCCCGUCUAUAACCUUCACCUUGUAAAACUGUUUAUUCAUUUGUAAGAACAUCUAUAGAAUCUCCAUACUAUCAAACUGUCAAUUUUGGCAUGGAUAAAGGCAUUCUUCAAAGUAUGUGUAUUUUUGAAUAAAAAGGCUGUGGUAUUCAAAAUCCUUUGGAAUCAAGAAAGCCUUGAAACAAUUUAAAGUGUCAAAGAGGGCCACUGCUGCCUAGAGGCCAGGUCUGACUCACUGAACACUGUCAAGAACCUUUUGUUGUAUAGCCUUACAUAAGUAUGAGAAGGCAGCAAGGGUAUAAUAUUUUAGGGUUUUGUCAUUCCUUCAAUCCAAUCACAGCUGGAUUCCAGGUCAUCCAAAUAAAGACAGGAUGGCUAAAUAAGACAAGAAGAGCCAUUUAAGUGCCAAGAGCCAGACAGCAAGUUAGAGAAAGCAUCAUUUUCCCUCUAUAUCAUUUAUGGCUGCUAAUUAUCCAACAAAAAUUUAUAUGUACAAAUUUGUAUGUGCAUUAAAAUGUCUAAGUACCAAAGAAAUGAUCUUCACAUUUCCUUUUUUCUCUACCUCCUGAAGUUUAAAUUCCUUAAAAGAUUUAUCCAUUUUUCUAUUUCUAGUACCUGUCAAAACUCCGCAUAGUUUAAGUCAGCAAUAGUGUUAGCCAAAGAUAGAGGGAAGUCAGUCAAUCCAAGCCUUUGAAAAUGAAUGGAACUGCAGGAACAGUCACUGAAGAACAAAAGAGUACUCCUGCAUCCAGUAAGCCACACCUACUUUAAGAAAGCUAGUGCUCACAAAUUUCCUUGUACACAAGUCCCAGACUAAGAUUAGAAAAUGGCCUGUCAUUCCCGUCAAACUCAGUCAUAGAUCCUCAAUUUGAGCAGCUCCCAGCACUAAUUUUGAGCAAGAAAUUAUGAUAUAUAGCACCAGGUUAUAGAUAUUUUCCAAUAGUAUCUGAAGAGGAAAUCAAACACUUAAAUUACCAGUCUAAAAGAAAAUCUAUUUCACAGAUGCAGAAAAACUGGAUGUAACAAAAGUGGUUGUCAUCUCUGCUGUGUGAACUUCCUAACAGAUUUGAAGUUUAACUGUCUUAUUAAAUAACAGUAAUUGUGCCCCAGUGACCUUGGCAUUUGGAGGACAAAUUCUCUGUAACUGCAACUCUAAUGCUACAAGCAGGCCUUUAACCAUGAGCACCAUUUUACUGAAAUGACUAAAAGCCUGGAAUCUCUAGCGAGCUAGCCUGAACUAAACUGCUAAUUCCAAGCAAAUAUGAGUUCUGUGAUCGUGGGCAAGUAACUUAAAUCUCUCUAUAUCUUAUCUUCUUUGUUCACAAAUUGGGGAUAAUAGAACACUGACCUCCUAACCUAUGGUGACUGUAAGAACUGUAGGUGGGCGUGUGAAAUGCUUGGCAUAUACAGUGGCCAUCUACUAGAUUUUAGCUCAUUGCAAAGUAGACAAUUUCACAAAUAAAACACACUCAACUAAUAUGUAAACGAAUCAAUCAAGGUAUCAUUACAGUGGAAUUUAGUCUUACUUGUGGUACACUUGUUCCCAAGCGACUAAUUUUACUGAGGAAAGGGAGAUUAAUUUAAUUAAUUUCCAGCACUUACCCAAUAAUUCAGUGUAAAUAAAAAUAAUAAUAAUUCAGUGAUUACGAAAAUCCUUGUACUUCUUUCGUUCCUAAACUAACGCCGGAUUCUAAGCAACUAUAAAAGGAGAUUAAAUAA